UGAGUAACCUGCCCUUAACUCUGGGAUAAGCCUGGGAAACUGGGUCUAAUACCGGAUAUGACUCCUCAUCGCAUGGGUGGGGGGUGGAAAGCUUUUUUGUGGUUUUGGAUGGACUCGCGGCCUAUCAGCUUGUUGGUGAGGUAAUGGCUCACCAAGGCGACGACGGGUAGCCGGCCUGAGAGGGUGUCCGGCCACACUGGGACUGAGAUACGGCCCAGACUCCGUACGGGAGGCAG
rnacentral:rRNA from 1 species